rnacentral:rRNA from 1 species
GAUGAACGCUGGCGGGGUGCCUAAUACAUGCAAGUAGAACGCUGAAGCUUGGUGCUUGCACCGAGCGGAUGAGUUGCGAACGGGUGAGUAACGCGUAGGUAACCUGCCUCUUAGCGGGGGAUAACUAUUGGAAACGAUAGCUAAUACCGCAUAAAAGUCGAUAUCGCAUGAUGUUGAUUUGAAAGGUGCAAUUGCAUCACUAAGAGAUGGACCUGCGUUGUAUUAGCUAGUUGGUGAGGUAACGGCUCACCAAGGCGACGAUACAUAGCCGACCUGAGAGGGUGAUCGGCCACACUGGGACUGAGACACGGCCCAGACUCCUACGGGAGGCAGCAGUAGGGAAUCUUCGGCAAUGGGGGCAACCCUGACCGAGCAACGCCGCGUGAGUGAAGAAGGUUUUCGGAUCGUAAAGCUCUGUUGUAAGAGAAGAACGAGUGUGAGA